rnacentral:misc_RNA from 1 species
UUGUGCCGGCCGACACUGC